UUUGACUGCAGAUCAAGAGGUCCCCAGUUCAAAUCUGGGUGCCCCCU
rnacentral:tRNA from 1 species